CGCAUUUAAACUGUCUGUUUGAAAAAAACGAGCGAAAAGUUGUCAAAUAGUGUUUUGUUUACAACUUUUUUCACCCAAAACGUGAAUUUUACUUUAAGACCAACUUUAAUUCAAGUUAACUAUUGGAUUUAACCAAUUAAUUGCUGUGCUGUGUAAAUUGUUGACAGUGUUGAGUCAACAAUUGCCAUUAAUUUCUUUCCUUUGGAUAUUAAAAAGACUAAAUUACAAAGAAUGUGAAUCAAACAAACGAAGUUAGAUUCAUUUGGAAAUUUGUCACCAAUUUGGUGUUUAUGAAAAUUAAAAUGAACCAUUUUCACCGAGAAUUGGAUUCAUGUUGAAUGGAAGAAGAGAUUACAUUGUUGUCUUCAUCUUCAUCGUCAACCUCAUCUUCAUCUUCAUCACUUUCAAUUGAAACAUGUUAUCAUCAUGAUGAUUCUGAGUUGGUAAGACUUCGUCGUUAUUCCAAUGAUUUUCUUCGAUCGAUUCCACCUCGUCCGCAUACACUAACAUUUGGUGCUUAUGAAAGUAUGGAAAUGAUGAAACACGAUGAUUCAAGAGACUCUGAAACUCGAUCUGAAUGUAAAAUGGAAACGAAUGAAAAAGACUCAGAGGUUGAACUAAGUGAGGUCAUCAAGGAUAAUCAAGGUCAACAACUGAUUACGAUAAAGACAGAGGAUGAACAGGUAGAGUCGAGUGUUGAGAUUGAGUGCAAUCAAGAGCCUGUACAAAGUGAAAUGGUCAAAAUUGGUUGCAUAAAUGAUCAAAGAUCGGUAAAGAUUAAAGUAAACGAUUUGACUCCAUCGAGUAGUCAAGAGUUUCUUGGUCCUGCAGUUGGAGGUCGUCGAUCACCAGGGACACCAUCGAGUCUUGCCAGUUCAACUUGUAGUUCACCUCAAGCUUCACCCGUGAGUACACCAAGCAAGUCACCUACACCAGUCGAUCCUUCAGUCUCCAGUCACUCCACUUCAACCUCAACCACCACAACUGCCGGUUCAACGACCAUUGGUGGUACAACGGCUAAACGAUGUGCCAAGCGUAACAGUAACUCGGGUUUACCUGGAAGUACCAACAAUCUGAAGCAGAGCAACUACACUGUCAAUAAUAACUCGUUGAAUUACAGCAAGGAAAGUCGAGAAAUGGGUUCAGAUCCAAUCAUUAGACGUAAAAGUUGGUCUUCAUCCAUUGAUCAAGCCGGACUGGGUCAAAAUGAACUUGACCAUUUCAUUGGAGAUGCACCUCAUCGAGUAGUCAGCUUGAGCAGUUUGGAUUCCGAUAUUGAAGAGACGUUUUACGAUGCGAGAGAAUCCGAUUCACCGAAACGAAAAAUGACUCAGGCCAAACCAAGUGAACAACCAUCUUCAAACACCAACAGUAAUCACAAGAAAACCAUUUUUACAUUAACAAGAUAUUCAUCGAUUUCAGCUUCCAGAUUGGAUGAUAUUGUUAAUUCAAUUGAUGAUCAAAGUGAAGGAGAAGAUAAAUUGCGAUUAAAAGCAACUGGAUUAACAGUUUCUUUCGAAGACUUGACCCUUUCAGAGUCAAGUGACCACAAAGAAUCUCAAAACAAUUCAACUGUUAAUUUACAAUUUGAUAAACCCCGGUCAUUAUCAGCCAGUUCAAGUGAAGCAAUAUUCAACUUAAACCAUCAUCAAAGUUCAUCAUCACCUAGUCAAUGUAAUCAUGCAAAUGCACCGAUGGUUCAAUCUGCUCGAAGUAUGAGUGAUAUAAUUAAUGUGAAACCCUCAUUGGAUGAUUUCAGCUCAAUGAAAAGUGAAAGCAACUCUUCUUCACGUGAAAGCAUCUCACCUUCAUCAACAGUCAGUGGUAACCUCACAAGUAAACGGUUGAUGGCCACAAGUGCAACUCCAUCAACACCUCUAACAAGCUCAAAAUCAUCGAGUUCAGUGAAGAAGGUUGAACCAGUAACAUCACCAUCAACGGUGACAACAUCAAAAGCAACGCCAACAACAAUAAUAUCACCUUCUCAUUAUUAUCAUCAUCAGUAUUUAACUCCUCCUCGAUCAACUUUACACAAAUCAAUAUCAACUCCUUCCAUUUUGACUGCUCAAGAAGCUGUUGAGGAACAAUCAACUCCUCAUGAACGUCGAGACAAAAAUUUAUCCUACAUCAGUAACCAGGAAAGUGAUGAUGAAAAGUCAAUAUCGAAAAGGAAAAAAAGAGGAAGCUUAUUUUUCCGUAAAAAACGAAAGGACAAAGAGGUUAAAAAAGUUUCACCUCAUCAGUUCGUUUCCGUAUGUUAUUCAAUUGCUGCUCUCUGUGAUGUCUGUAAAAAAGCAUUGGCCAAUAAACCUGCCAUUAAAUGUGAAAAUUGUAUGGUAACUGUUCAUGAUAGCUCAUGUAAAGAUCAAAUAUUAGAUUGUAAUAAAUUUCGACUUGCAAAGAAGCCAAGUCAUUUAGCAUUAACAACCAAAGACAGAACCAUUUCACCGAUGCUCCAAGUUCCUCCAGGUCGACUUCAUUAUCACCCCUUAAGAGGUUUUCCAUCUCUCUUUGAAUACCCUGAUAUGGAACAAUUUCCUAUGAUUGGAUCAAAUGCUAAAUCAUCAUCACCGACUUCAUCGGUUAAGGAAAAGAAACUUGUUGGUUUCAGUAAGAAUCAUCAAUCAUCUUCAACCCUUGACACACAAGGAAUCACAUGUAAACCUCCAUCUUCGUCAUCACCAAGCAUUAAUCGCAAAUCUUAUACACCAAGUGGUUAUUCACAGUGGAGGCGAGUUGCCACCAAAUUGGGUGUUAAUAAAGUCAUCUGUGAAGACAAAGAGUUGGACACUGGUGAAGAUGGACACAGCAACAUUGUUGAAACUGCUUCUGGCUCCAUGGAGUCACUGGACGAAGGAGUUGCAGAAGUGAUUACAAGUGAAUUUGAAGAUGAUUGCGCUCUUCGUUUAUUGGAUGACGAACCCGAAUCAUGGAACAAUACAGUUGAUAAAAAGGUUCUCAAACGAUUAAAGGAAAAGGACAUUAGACGACAAGAAGUUAUUCAUGAGUUAAUAAUAACCGAAAAGCAUCAUUGUUUAACCCUAAAGAUAAUGCAGAAAAUAUAUGCUCAAGGUAUGAUUAAAGAACUUCAUAUGACCAAAGACAUGGUGGAAAGGAUAUUCCCAUGUUUGGAGGAUCUUCUUGAAACCCAUCUUACAUUCCUUAAGAAAUUACGUGAAAGACAAUCUCUAGACUCUGUGAUCGAUAAUAUUGGAGACAUAAUAUUACAACAGUUUUCUGGAUCAAAUGGUGAACAAUUAAGAAACUGUUACGGACAAUUUUGUAGUCAACAUAAAGAAGCCCUGUCUUUGUAUAAAGAUAUCCUGAAAACUGAUAGGAAAUUCCAGAAUUUCAUCAAAAAAUGUAGCAUGAAACCCGUUUGUAAAACUCGAGGAAUUCCUGAAUGUAUUUUACUCGUUACUCAGCGCAUCACCAAAUAUCCAUUGUUGAUUGAUUCCUUGUUGAAAGUUACCAAAGAUAAUAAAUGUGAUUAUAGUGAUUUGAAGGAUGCACUGAGUCACUGUAAAAAUGUCAUUAAUCGAGUUGAUGCUCAAGUUGCUGAAAAGGAAAAGGAAAUUCGUUUACUUGAGAUUUAUAAUAAAAUUGAUGCCAAAUCGACGACCAUCUACAAGGGUAAAAAGUUUAGAAAAUCUGAUCUUCUCUCGAAUAAUCGAAAGUUGCGCCAUGAAGCUGUUCUCUCAUGGAAAAGUGCUCGUGGUAAAGUUGUUGAUGUAAUUGGUGUUAUACUUUCUGAUGUAAUCAUUUUGCUUCAAGAAAACAAUCAAAAGUAUCAUUUCUGUUCACUUGAUAACAAGUCAAGUGUUGUUUCAUUGCAAAAGCUUUUGGUUCGUGAAAAGGCUGGACAAUUAAGUCGAGGAGUUUACUUGAUAUCAUCCAAUCCUCAUGAGCCUGAAAUGUAUGAACUGAUAUGUCCAACUGCAAAGGAACAGAAAAAUUUGAUUGACCAGAUUCGAGAAGCGGUCGAGAUUUGUCCUGAUGAAGAAGAGGAUUGUCCGAAUGAGGGUGAAGAGAAAAAGAUAGAAGAGGCAAGAAAAGCAAAAGUUCGUGAACUAUUGAAUUCAAUGUACGAAAAGGAUGCUCGAAUGGCUCAAAUGUGUGAAGAUAAAAUGAAAAUAUUCGCCGACAUGAUGGAAUUGCUCGGUAUUGAACAAGAAGGAAUUGAAUUGAUCCGUUAUGUGCCAAUGAUUGAAGACAAUUGCUCACCAGAGACAAUCAUUAAUGCUGCCAAUGAAGCUUUCAGGAUAGCUCAUAAUCUUUACGUUUCUGGUACCAAUUUGUGUCGCAGUGUCAGUUCAGCUGGUGAACAUCAAAGUGACACUUUUGUUUCGCCCAUUUUACCAAAAAGAGCAGAGACUUUUGGUGGCUUUGAUAAUCCAGAGAAAGAUCCUUUACUGCGAUUGAAUGCAUUGAAGAAGAAGUUGGGUCAAUUGAAAGACUGUCCAUUCAAGGAAAAUGUUACAGGCGAUUCGCGAACAUCUGAAGUUGAUCCCGACGGAAGUGCUCUUAACAUGGGAUCCACUCUAUCCACAGCCUCGUCCUCUUCCUCAUCAACGACAACAAUGACUCAAGGUCCAACCAAUGAAUCAUUCCUAGCAAUAAGACCCACUUUAACUGAUCACCGUCGAUCUUCUGGACCGUUGGUCAACAAGUGCUCAUCGAAUGCAUCGAGUCCCGAGAAGACGCAACGACGUUCCCUUGUCACUACACCAACACCUUCGAUUCAAUCACUGUUUGCCUCUUCAAGCACUACAUUGGCACCCAUUUCACCCUCAUCUUCUACCUCAUCAUCAUCCUCAAUGUUUGCCACUUUACCUCUUUACGAUCCUAGUGACAUAUACAGACUAACAACUACACCUCUUCUGAUGACUCAAGGAAAAGACCAGUUGAUCCAAAUAGCUGAACUUCAACAUCAAGUUAAUCUUCUUAUGUGUUUAUUCAAUUACCAGCAAACCUUGUUUGAAAACAUGAGAUUUCAAUUGAUGGAUUCAAACAACAAGAUAAUUCAACUUCAAAAGGACAACAUUUACGGUGGAAACAACGGUCGAGACGCAAAAUCGGAUCGUCGAAGUGUGUACAGACCGGAACAAGGGUUGGAAGAACUGAGGAAUCUUCAAGAACAGUUGAGAAUGGAAAAGAGCGAAUGGAUCAAAAAGCUAAAUGAAGAAAAGACGGGAAUCGAAAGUGAACGAAAAUCGUUGGAAGAUUUACAGGAAAAGGUUCGAAAGGAACAAAAGGACGUGGAAGAGCAAAGGGAAAUGCUUUAUCGCAAGUUGGAGGCUCUUCAAAAGGAAGGAAUAAUUCUGUCUCCUGCUCAUACAAUUGUGAAUACUGGUAAUUUACGGAUCAAUCCUGAUCUUGUUAAUCGGGGAAAUGGCCUUAACAAUAAUAGUCUUGUCAGUAAUAAUAGUAAUAACAAUAACAAUAGUCCAUGUAAUGCCACUGGAAUAUCUGAUUGUGAUAGAUUGACUGGAUCAAGUUGUAAUCAAUUUACUCGAUCAGUUGCUACUAAUUUUAAUAACAUAUCAUUUCCAUCUUGUGUAUCAUCAACACCAGGAACAACUGUAUCCUCCGAGACGCCAAGUCUAACUUCAUCUGAUAAAGUUAAUCAAUCUUCAUCUUCUGCACCGAGAACACCAAGUUUAGCCUUUAAUAGUGGUUCUAAUUCAUCACCAAUUAAGCAACAAUUGCCCCUUAAAUUGGCCGUUAACGAGUCAGGUCAGGGUCGAUGUAAUCAUAGUCAAGUAGUCAAUUCACCAUCUAAUCAACAGAUACCAGCGACAAUUGGAAAUAUUCCUGUGAGUAAAGUGUUCCUGGCUCAGUUUUGAGUAAACUGUUUAUGACUCAGUUGAUGACUUAAUUCGAGUCUGAACAUCAUUCAGUUUUGUCUCUUAUUUUGUUCGUGAAAACAUUUUUUCCUUUUUUUCAUUAUUAUUUAUCAUUCUUCAAGUAUCAAACUCAGUGAUGGAUUCUGAUCAAUUUUUAUUCAACAAUAAAUUCGAAAUAUUGACGAGAUAAUCAAAAGACUAACCCUAAUCACUGGACGAUUGUUUUUUACAUUUGGACGUUUAUUGGUCAGUGUGCUUGAUUGUUGGUCAACAAUUGUGUACACUUUCAUUGUAAAUUGUGUUACAACUGGUUCAAAUGUUUUUUUGCAUUGUACAGAUUGAAUGAUAUUUUAUGUUCAUUUUUCUCAAAUGAUUUCGUUUUAGAGAUUCUUUCUCUAAUUCAAUUUCUCUAAUUGUUUACUGAAUCAAUUUUAUUGUAACACUGAGACAAUAGUCAGUCAAAUGAAGAUGUAAUACACUUGAAUAAAUUUAUUUUUUGUCAAUUUAA